GAUGAACGUUGGCGGCGUGCCUAAUACAUGCAAGUCGAACGGAGAUUGUAGCAAUACGGUCUCAGUGGCGAACGGGUGAGUAACGCGUUGGUGACCUGCCCCGAAGUGUGGAAUAACAGAUCGAAAGAGCUGCUAAUACCGCAUAAUAUCCAGGAGAUUAGAUGCUUCUGGAUUAAAGGAUUUAUCCGCUUCGGGAGGGGCCUGCGUCCCAUCAGCUAGUUGGUAAGGUAAAGGCUUACCAAGGCGAUGACGGGUAGGGGACCUGAGAGGGUGGCCCCCCACAAUGGAACUGAAACACGGUCCAUACACCUACGGGUGGCAGCAGUAGGGAAUAUUAGUAAUGGGCGAAAGCCUGAACUAGCAACGCCGCGUGAAGGAAGAAGGCCUUCGGGUUGUAAACUUCUUUGAUAGGGGACGAUAAUGACGGUACCCUAAAAACAAGCCACGGCUAACUACGUGCCAGCAGCCGCGGUAAAACGUCCACUG
rnacentral:rRNA from 1 species